rnacentral:rRNA from 1 species
CCCUUAGAUGUCCUGGGCUGCACGCGCGCUACACUGAUGUGUCCAGUAAGCACCUAACCUAUUCCGAGAGGAGCGGGUAACCUUAGCAAAGCACAUCGUGAUGGGGAUAGAUUAUUGCAAUUAUUAGUCUUGAACGAGGAAUUCCUAGUAAGCGCGAGUCAUCAGCUCGCGCUGAUUACGUCCCUGCCCUUUGUACACACCGCCCGUCGCUACUACCGAUUGGAUGGUUUAGCGAGAACUUUGGACCGGAGCUCGGGUGGUCAGCAAUGGCCGCCCGAGACAUACUGGGAAAUCGCUCCAGCUUGAUCAUCUAGAGGAAGUAAAAGUCGUAACA